rnacentral:tRNA from 1 species
AAAGAAUUAGUUAAACUAUAACAUAAAUUUGUCAAAUUUAAAUUAUUACAUAUAAUAUUCUUUU